UUCUUCUUCUUCUUCUUCUUCUUCUUCUUCUUCUUCUCUUUCUUCUGUCCUUCAUCUCUUUCUCCCUGUCGAAUUCAAUUCCAAAGGUCUAGAUGAAUCGAGCUUUUUUUUGUGUGUGAUUCAUGUAAAUAUUGAGAUCUAGAUAAAUCUAAGAAGAGGGUGAUGAAUCUGGAAGCUAAUUUAGAAGAAAGUGGUGCUUCGAUUUCGUCAGAUAAUGGAGAACAAUGUAGAUUUUUGGACACGUAAUUAAGUAAUUUUGAAAUUAUGCUUUUAAUUUGGUUUUUGGAAUUAGAUUUCAAAGGUGGGUUUAAUUUGGGCUGUAUUUUGAGUAGGCAUCACCGGUUUGUAUUACUUAUCUGACAACUGAAUUUCAUUUCAUCCAAGCAGCAAUUUUUAAAUGUUGAGUUCAUCAAAGAAGUAUCGUUUUAUUCAUCUGCCGCUUUUCGAUUAUAAUCUUUAUACUUUCUGCCGUUAAACAAAUAUGUUGCUAGCUACAAGAAGCAGCAACGCGUCGAUCAGGUAAAACUACUCUUACACCUAUUGAAAAUAAAAUUCGUAAAUGCAUCACAUGAUAAUGGUGCUGCUUAUUGUCUUACAUGCUAUCGAUGUAGGAGUUAAAUGUGAUAAUGAGGCGAUGUGCGAUGCGUUAUUUAGAACCGUUCAUGUGCGUCAUUGCUGUGAGAAAGGAAGGCGAGAAUGCGCUUAGUGGCAUGCUUAAAAAUGUCAUUGGAACUCUUGAUUUUCGUUUCAAGUACAUGUUACAGGGGGAGACUUAUCCUGAUGUGCAUUAUACAUGGAUACUUAUCUAAUUUAAGUUAGCUUUUUGAUGUUGAGAAUCACCUAAUUAAGAUUUGAAUCUUUCCCAGGAAUUUUUAUAGCCAGCUGUGAAUAUGUUUAGCACCUUCAAAAGAAGGGGACCACGGAAACAUGGCAUAAUCUCAAACAUGAUUGUUGCCAAAAGUGCACGUCAACAAGGUAUAAAGCAGUUAUACUUACAUGUCUGUCGGGAUAACAAGCCAGCAUUAGCACUAUACAUAAAGAUGGGAUUUGAGAGGCGACUCCACAUCUGGAAGAAUAGAACCUAUACGUGUACAACAUAAAUCUGUAGUUAGAUUUUACUCAUUCUUUAAACUCAUAAAGAGGUUGUUUGUGCAGCUGUUCUUGAAAGUACAGAAUUCUCAUGGUACAACUUCAAGAAAUAUUUACCGUUGGUUUCAAAAGUCUCGAAGGACGGUAUGAAACACAUGAGGAUGAAAUACUUGAAAAUGCAAAGGAAAAUUUAAAGAAUUUUGAGGAAAGGAAAGAUUACAGUUCUAGGAACAUGAAAGGUAAAAUUGGUGGACGCCAUCAACUUACUCAAAACUGGAAAAAAAAUAGGCGGUGUUGAGUUCAGUAAUUGGGCAAGCUUAGUAUAAACCUGCUUACAGGCUUCAAAUUGACAGUGACAAACUUAAGGACGUGAAGCUUGAUAUAGUUGGAGGAAAUCUGAAGAAAAUUGGUGGGAAGUACUUCUGACCCACUCCCAAAUGAUUGCCGAGCGAUGGGGCGAGGCGAAGCCAAGCUACAUGCAUCGGGGCGAGGCGAAGCUGAACCAUACCAAAUCAAAAAUGUAUCACGACGGGGCGGGACGAAGCCCCGCGACACCAAAUCUAAAAUGCACGACGGGCCGAGGCGAAAUCACAUCAUACCAAAUCAAAAAUAUGGUUAAAAGAAAAAAAUGUAAUAAAAAAUCCUAAGCGACGGAGCGAGGCGAAGCCGAGCUACAUCAAAUAAAAAAUCCUAAGCAUGUACCGGACGGGGCGAGGCGAAGCCGAGAUACACAAAAUCAAAUAUCUUAAGCAUGCAUUGGGACGGGGCGAGGCAAAACAGUUUUCGGGUCCUCCCGAUGCGUAGCACAUGCACAAAAUCUAGGUUUGAUUAAUGGUAGACCAAGACGUUUUGUGUGUUUUUGAUUCCUCCUUCUCCAUGUUUUUCUAAUUCUACAAAUUUUACCUUUCCAUCUCCCUGGAAUACAACAUGGUACUGGCCUUUCUCUUCUUGCUCAUGGAGUACAUUAAGAGACUUAACUACAGGUCAACACACAAACUCUUUCCACUUUGAAUUAAGAAUUUUGUUUAGUUUGAUUUCAAUGUCUUCAGGGUUUAAAAUAAUGCUGCUUUGAAGAGAAUAUUGGAAAAUAAUAAACAGAGAAAUUAUAGUUCAUUAUUAUUUCCCGAUAAUUGCCUAGACAUUAUUUUACUAGCCUUAUUUUAGCCACGUUGUUAACUGUAUAUGCCUACAAACAUGGAAAGAAGGAGCUGAAGUUCCUUCUUUCCAUUAGAGAAACUGGAAACUUAAUUAGAUUAUCGUUCCGUGAGUGCUUUAUGGAGGAAACUGGAAACUUAGAUUAUUGGCCUUUAUGGAGAAAACUGGAAAUCUCGCGUAAGCUAUUAGAGAAGGUCAGAUCAUACGUCAUCAUUAGAUCAAAUUUUAGAUUAUCGUUCCGUGAGUGCUUUAAUUUAAUUUGUGCUAACAUGUUUUGGUUGUUUCAGGUACAACUGAUUGAGCCUGUAGAUGGCAGGCAACUUCCUUAGGUCCAUCUCACCUUUUUGUAUUGAAUUUGUGAAUUUGAUUUUCUAGAUUGGUUAUCUACCGAAGGAAAAAUUGUGCAUUGCGAAGCCAACCAACACUAGGAAUAUCUGUUGCUACAUACAUGAAGUUGUGGAGCUGCUGCGACGUGCAAAUCAAUCUAUGAAUAUUAAUGUUGUUCUAGCAUACCCGUUGUUGCUGUUGCGCGAAUGGAGCUGAUGCAACCUACUGAUGUGAUGUGCCCGUUGCUUCUGCAUACAUGAUGUUGUUGCUACGUACUGCUCCCACUGCUUUGUACCUGCGCACCUGCUAAUGUAGCUGCUCCGUAUGUGCUGUUGUUACUGCUGGACGCAUAAACCUGCAUGUGCACCUGAUGUGCUGCGAACAAGGUGCUGCUGCCCCGGUACUUGUUUGUCGUGUAACUGCCAGUUUUUCUUCGAACAAGGUGCUCCUGCUGCGAAACGGUUGUUGGCGCGAACAAGCUUAUGUACAUGCUGUCGAGCAAGCAAGGCAUUGUUGUUGCUGCUGCUGCUCCACGUACUGCUGAUGCUACCUUUUAAUGUGGUGUUCCUGAUGGAAAUUAGGGUUCUAUUUAUUAUUCUUCUUGACCACCCAAAAUAUUUCACCCUUUCUCUCCGCCCUUUUGAUUUAUUUGUUUUCUUCAUUGUAUAUUACGUUAACAAUAUGGGUUUCGUGCACAAAAGCCUCAAUUUCUUAACUCUACAAUUCGAAUUGCGAGAAUCUCAUUGUAUUGAAUUACCUAUUCAUUUCUUAUUGGACGGCUUCUCAUCUGGUGAAGGA